rnacentral:rRNA from 1 species
UACGUAGGGUGCAAGCGUUGUCCGGAAUUAUUGGGCGUAAAGAGCUCGUAGGCGGUCUGUCACGUCUGCUGUGAAAACUCGGGGCUUAACCCCGGGCCUGCAGUGGGUACGGGCAGACUAGAGUGCGGUAGGGGAGACUGGAAUUCCUGGUGUAGCGGUGAAAUGCGCAGAUAUCAGGAGGAACACCGGUGGCGAAGGCGGGUCUCUGGGCCGUAACUGGACGCUGAGGAGCGAAAGCGUGGGGAGCGAACAGG